CAGGGAUUGCCUCAGUAACGGCGAGUGAAGCGGCAACAGCUCAAAUUUGAAAUCUGGCCCUUGGGUCCGAGUUGUAAUUUGCAGAGGAUGCUUUUGGCGAGGUGCCUUCCGAGUUCCCUGGAACGGGACGCCAUAGAGGGUGAGAGCCCCGUCCGGUCGUGUCACCAAGCCUCUGUAAAGCUCCUUCGACGAGUCGAGUAGUUUGGGAAUGCUGCUCUAAAUGGGAGGUGUAUGUCUUCUAAAGCUAAAUACCGGCCAGAGACCGAUAGCGCACAAGUAGAGUGAUCGAAAGAUGAAAAGUACUCUGAAGAGAGAGUUAAAUAGCACGUGAAAUUGUUGAAGGGGAAGCGUUUAUGACCAGACUUGGGGCCGGCCGAUCAUCCAGCGUUCUCGCUGGUGCACUCGGCCGGCUUUAGGCCAGCAUCAGUUUGCGCCGGGGGAUAAAGGCUUCGGGAACGUAGCUCCUUCGGGAGUGUUAUAGCCCGUUGCGUAAUACCCUGGUGCGGACUGAGGAUCGCGCUUCGGCACGGAUGCUGGCGUAAUGGUCAUCAACGACCCGUCUUGAAACACGGACCAAGGAGUCGUCCUCGUAUGCGAGUGUUCGGGUGUCAAACCCCUACGCGGAAUGAAAGUGAACGUAGGUGAGAGCUUCGGCGCAUCACCGACCGAUCCUGAUGUUCUCGGAUGGAUUUGAGUAAGAGCAUACGGGGCCGGACCCGAAA
rnacentral:rRNA from 1 species